rnacentral:lncRNA from 1 species
GAUAGGUGACAAUAAGCAACAAAAAGAAAGAAGUUAAGACUAAUACAAAAUCAUUCGAGGGGCAUGAUUAUGACAGGUAUGGUAUCAGAAUUCAAGAUUUAAGACUACUAAAAAAAUUUUGGUGUUUUCAAACAGAAUGGUAACGAGCCAUGCCAAAAUAAAAAUAAGCUAGUUUGGAGAUUUCUCGAUGGAGUAAUUUGUAUUUUGGAUUAUGAUUAAAGUAUAUUUUGACUGAUAUUAAGUGGAGUACUAGCUAUGGAAUAUUAAAGUACAUGGUGAUUAUUUGUGUAUUAGUAUAUAGGUGAUUUUGGAAGUUUAACUUGAUACCGGGUACUGUGGAUAAUACUUCUAGUUUGAAGU